ACGAUGUUCCGCUGUGCCGGUUUUAUGGUCAAGAGCAUCUG
rfam:Bacillus atrophaeus 1942, complete genome.